AUUGAACGCUGGCGGAAUGCUUUACACAUGCAAGUCGAACGGCAGCACGGACUUCGGUCUGGUGGCGAGUGGCGGACGGGUGAGUAACAUAUCGGAACGUAUCCAAUAAUGGGGGAUAACGAGUCGAAAGAUUCGCUAAUACCGCAUACGCCCUACGGGGGAAAGCUGGGGACCUUCGGGCCUGGCGUUAAUGGAGCGGCCGAUAUCUGAUUAGCUAGUUGGUGAGGUAAAGGCUCACCAAGGCGACGAUCAGUAGCUGGUCUGAGAGGACGACCAGCCACACUGGAACUGAGACACGGUCCAGACUCCUACGGGAGGCAGCAGUGGGGAAUUUUGGACAAGGGGCGCAAGCCUGAUCCAGCCAUUCCGCGUGAGUGAAGAAGGCCUUCGGGUUGUAAAGCUCUUUCGCAAGGGAAGAAAACUUAGCCACUAACAUUGGUUGAGGUUGACGGUACCUUGAUAAGAAGCACCGGCUAACUACGUGCCAGCCGCCGCGGUAA
rnacentral:rRNA from 1 species